UAAAGGGAUACUAUAGUGAGAGGAAUACAAAGCUGUUAUACUGGCACUAUAGCUCCCUCUGUCACCCCCUCCCUCGUGUCCCCCUCCCCAUUGAAUAAAGAGUCAAAAACCGUUCAUUUACUUACCUGAUCCCUCAAAAGACAACCCGCAAUGAGUGGCGCUAAUGCGUAUGCUCAGCAUAUGCCGCGUGCGCAUUAGACCUCUCCAUAGCAAAUCAUUGAAUCAGUGCUUUCCUAUGGGGAAAUAGCUGACACUGGAUGUCCUUAUGCAGAGCAUUUGGAUCCAGGAAGUGCCUCCAGUGGCUAUCUGAUAGACAGCCACUGGAGGCAGACUUAGUG